GCUUUGGUGGCCAAGGGGUUAGAGCGUCCGCCUCGGAAGCGCAAGGUCAGAGGUUUGAACCCCGGUCGAAUCA